CUGACAUCUUAAAGGGUUUAUUAAUCACGUGAGACAGGUUCCAUUACAACGAGACAGGCAGAGAGGAAGAGAGAUGUGAGACAGGUUCCAUGUACAACGAGACAGGCAGAGAGGAAGAGAGAUGUGAGACAGGUUCCAUUACAACGAGACAGGCAGAGAGGAAGAGAGAUGUGAGACAGGUUCCAUUACAACGAGACAGGCAGAGAGGAAGAGAGAUGUGAGACAGGUUCCAUUACAACGAGACAGGCAGAGAGGAAGAGAGAUGUGAGACAGGUUCCAUUACAACGAGACAGGCAGAGAGGAAGAGAGAUGUGAGACAGGUUCCAUUACAACGAGACAGGCAGAGAGGAAGAGAGAUGUGAGACAGGUUCCAUUACAACGAGACAGGCAGAGAGGAAGAGAGAUGUGAGACAGGUUCCAUUACAACGAGACAGGCAGAGAGGAAGAGAGAUGUGAGACAGGUUCCAUUACAACGAGACAGGCAGAGAGGAAGAGAGAUGUGAGACAGGUUCCAUUACAACGAGACAGGCAGAGAGGAAGAGAGAUGUGAGACAGGUUCCAUUACAACGAGACAGGCAGAGAGGAAGAGAGAUGUGAGACAGGUUCCAUGUGAGACAGGUUCCAUUACAACGAGACAGGCAGAGAGGAAGAGAGAUGUGAGACAGGUUCCAUUACAACGAGACAGGCAGAGAGGAAGAGAGAUGUGAGACAGGUUCCAUUACAACGAGACAGGCAGAGAGGAAGAGAGAUGUGAGACAGGUUCCAUUACAACGAGACAGGCAGAGAGGAAGAGAGAUGUGAGACAGGUUCCAUUACAACGAGACAGGCAGAGAGGAAGAGAGAUGUGAGACAGGUUCCAUUACAACGAGACAGGCAGAGAGGAAGAGAGAUGUGAGACAGGUUCCAUUACAACGAGACAGGCAGAGAGGAAGAGAGAUGUGAGACAGGUUCCAUUACAACGAGACAGGCAGAGAGGAAGAGAGAUGUGAGACAGGUUCCAUUACAACGAGACAGGCAGAGAGGAAGAGAGAUGUGAGACAGGUUCCAUUACAACGAGACAGGCAGAGAGGAAGAGAGAUGUGAGACAGGUUCCAUUACAACGAGACAGGCAGAGAGGAAGAGAGAAGAAGAACAGAGAACAGUUUACCUCUGGUUAUGGACACCUUUUCAGCAAUAAAGCUUCCACGGCCUGUUAAAUAUGCUGAACACCAGACUGGUGUUGUGGUUGUUCAUUAGGUGAUGGGACAUAUGCUUUAAACCAGACUGGUAUUGUGGUUGUUCAUUAG